CCCCUCCCAGGGUCUCACCUGGAGAGUUUCCAGUACUCUACCAGGCUCGGCUAAGGGAGGAAGAGUCAAGCAGAGGCCUAACCAUUCCAUUCCUAUCUUGGGCAGUGGCUAGGGAGUGGAAGGCAAUCUGCUACAAGU
rnacentral:snoRNA from 1 species